UACGGAGGGUGCGAGCGUUGUCCGGAAUCAUUGGGCGUAGAGGGCGCGUAGGUGGCCACUUCAAGCGUGCGGUGAAAGUCGGGGGCUCAACCCCUGAUCGGCCGUGCGAACUGGGGGGCUGGAGCACUGUAGAGGCAGGCGGAAUUCCGGGUGUAGCGGUGGAAUGCGUAGAGAUCCGGAAGAACACCGGUGGCGAAGGCGGCCUGCUGGGCAGUUUUGCUGACACUGAGGCGCGACAGCGUGGGGAGCAAACAGG
rnacentral:rRNA from 1 species